rnacentral:siRNA from 1 species
UCCAACGUUUUUCACUAGCUGC